rnacentral:rRNA from 1 species
UACAGAGGUCUCAAGCGUUGUUCGGAUUCAUUGGGCGUAAAGGGCGCGUAGGCGGCGGGGUAAGUCUGGUGUGAAAUCUCGGAGCUCAACUCCGAAAUUGCACUGGAUACUGCUCUGCUAGAGGGCUGGAGAGGAGAUCGGAAUUCACGGUGUAGCAGUGAAAUGCGUAGAUAUCGUGAGGAAGACCAGUGGCGAAGGCGGAUCUCUGGACAGCGUCCUGACGCUGAGGCGCGAAGGCUAGGGGAGCAAACGGG